rnacentral:rRNA from 1 species
CCUACGGGGGGCAGCAGUGGGGAAUAUUGGACAAUGGGCGAAAGCCUGAUCCAGCCAUGUCGCGUGUGUGAAGAAGGCCUUCGGGUUGUAAAGCACUUUCAGUGGGGAAGAAAGCCUUGGGGCUAAUACCCUCGAGGAAGGACAUCACCCACAGAAGAAGCACCGGCUAACUCCGUGCCAGCAGCCGCGGUAAUACGGAGGGUGCGAGCGUUAAUCGGAAUUACUGGGCGUAAAGCGCGCGUAGGCGGUCUGAUAAGCCGGUUGUGAAAGCCCCGGGCUCAACCUGGGAACGGCAUCCGGAACUGUCAGGCUAGAGUGCAGGAGAGGAAGGUAGAAUUCCCGGUGUAGCGGUGAAAUGCGUAGAGAUCGGGAGGAAUACCAGUGGCGAAGGCGGCCUUCUGGACUGACACUGACGCUGAGGUGCGAAAGCGUGGGUAGCAAACAGGAUUAGAUACCCUAGUAGUC